UACGUAGGGUGCGAGCGUUGUCCGGAAUUACUGGGCGUAAAGAGCUCGUAGGUGGUUUGUCGCGUUGUUCGUGAAAACUCACAGCUUAACUGUGGGCGUGCGGGCGAUACGGGCAGACUGGAGUACUGCAGGGGAGACUGGAAUUCCUGGUGUAGCGGUGGAAUGCGCAGAUAUCAGGAGGAACACCAGUGGCGAAGGCGCCGCUCUGGGCCGUGACUGACGCUGAGGAGCGAAAGCGUGGGUAGCAAACAGG
rnacentral:rRNA from 1 species